GGCUCCGUGGCGGAUGGUCCGCACCCGCACAUCAUUUCGGAGAUAUUCCAGGAAGCUUGAUUGCGGGGUAGCGCCUGUUCGAUUCAGGCCGGGGCCG